UGGAAAGGCGCGCGAUACAGGGUGACAGCCCCGUACACAAAAGCGCAUGUGCUGUGAGCUCGAUGAGUAGGGCGGGACACGUGGUAUCCUGUCUGAAUAUGGGGGGACCAUCCUCCAAGGCUAAAUACUCCUGACUGACCGAUAGUGAACCAGUACCGUGAGGGAAAGGCGAAAAGAACCCCGGCGAGGGGAGUGAAAAAGAACCUGAAACCGUGUACGUACAAGCAGUGGGAGCACAGGUUUACCUGUGUGACUGCGUACCUUUUGUAUAA
rnacentral:rRNA from 1 species